rnacentral:rRNA from 1 species
UACGUAGGGGGGCUAGCGUUGUCCGGAAUCAUUGGGCGUAAAGCGCGUGUAGGCGGUCCGGUAAGUCCGCUGUGAAAGUCGGGGGCUCAACCCUCGGAUGCCGGUGGAUACUGUCGGGCUUGAGUACGGAAGAGGCGAGUGGAAUUCCUGGUGUAGCGGUGGAAUGCGCAGAUAUCGGGAGGAACACCAGUGGCGAAGGCGGGCUUCCUGGCCUGUUCGUUGACGCUGAGGCGCGAAAGCUAGGGGAGCAAACGGGG